GACGAACGCUGGCGGCGUGCUUAACACAUGCAAGUCGAACGGAAAGGCCCUGCUUUUGUGGGGUGCUCGAGUGGCGAACGGGUGAGUAACACGUGAGUAACCUGCCCUUGACUUUGGGAUAACUUCAGGAAACUGGGGCUAAUACCGGAUAGGAGCUCCUGCUGCAUGGUGGGGGUUGGAAAGUUUCGGCGGUUGGGGAUGGACUCGCGGCUUAUCAGCUUGUUGGUGGGGUAGUGGCUUACCAAGGCUUUGACGGGUAGCCGGCCUGAGAGGGUGACCGGCCACCUUGGGGCUGGGAUACGGCCCAGACUCCUACGGGGGGCAACAGUGGGGAAUAUUGCACCAUGGGCGGAAGCCUGAUGCAGCAACGCCGCGUGCGGGAUGACGGCCUUCGGGUUGUAAACCGCUUUCGCCUGUGACGAAGCGUGAGUGACGGUAAUGGGUAAAGAAGCACCGGCUAACUACGUG
rnacentral:rRNA from 1 species